GCGAACAAGACACCCCCCCACACACACUCGCACACCUGACCGUGGGAGGUGUGCAGGGCAGAGCAGCCUGAGCUGACACUCCACACGCAAGGAGGGUUGUGUGUUUGUGUUCACACAUAUGUGAGCAACUGCUCCAGCAGUCCUGGAGUGGAGAACCAGGAGCAGCAGCAGUGGCAGAGGUGGGGGGGGGGGGCGUGAGGCAGGAUAGCAUCUCCAGUGUGGCUCCAUCUUUGGCAUCUAAGAGCCAGGACAUGGGUGAGGAAUGAGUAGCUCUCCCGGUGCAUGGGCGUGUGGGUGUGCAGGGGUGCACGUGAGUGUAGUGACAGGGACACUGUGUGUGUGUGAGAGGCAGUGUGUGGGAAACUGUGUCCCCGAGCAGGAGCGUGUGCCAGCACCGAGCGUGAGUUAUGCACACAGAGUGAAUCCCAGUGUUGGAUCCAGAGCUGGGAAGGGGAGCAGCGAGAACAGGGAACAGAGGGGGGCCCUGGCAAGUGAGAGGCUGAGGGGUGCAUGAAAGAGGGAUGUGUGAGGGCGGCUGUGAGGGGAUGUGAGAGACACAGGCACCCAGUGUCCAUGAAGCCCGCUGCUGGGCCACUUCCCCAGAAAGCAGCCCUGAGUCUCUCCCUAGCCAGAGCCCCCCGCCUACCCCUCCUGUCACCUCGUCUGGUGGGCAGAAGAAUCCAGUAGCCCCAGAAGAAAAGGAAAGCAAGUGCAAAGUAGGGCUCAGCCAGUCUGGCCUUGGGACAGUGCAUCCCUUCCCUGCCAGCUGAGCAGCUUUGGGACCCCUGGGCUCACCUCGGAAUGCCCCUGGCCCCAGCCUUGGGCACCACAGCAGCUGCAGGACCAAGAAGAGGAGCGGCAGCCCUGGGGACCUGAAGAGAAAGAAGUUGGGAGAAAUAUACCUGAGAAGAGGAGGGAAUGCUGAGGGAUCCUUGGUGCUUACACCGAUGCCCAGAGACCACAGUUUCAGCUUCAUCUGGGGGAUUCUGGGCACUCACUUUACUGCUUUGGCCUGAUUUCUCCUCUGGAUAAUGUGUAAGUCAGAGGAAGUCUUGGCUGGAUCUUUCAGUCUGUUAUACCCAUCCCCUACACUGGGACUUACACAAGGAAAGAUUGCCUGUAAAAGUGCAUUGAAGGACACUCCAUUCAUCUUUUCCACUUUUUUCUUAUCUGUUAGUCUAAGCUUGAGAUCAGCAUGAGGCAAGGGUGCCUGCACUGACUAGGCACUUUAUGGCACUGCCACCUCACAAAGGGAUCUCAUCUCUACUUCACGGUCAAGGAAACAGAAGCCCAGAGAGGGUACGAGGUUUGCUUGCUCCAGAUCUCACAGCAGACAGACACUGGAUUCAAACCAGAACUUUGCUUUUCUAAAUACCAAAAGCAAUAAAGAAAUGAGGUCCAUAGCAGCAA